rnacentral:rRNA from 1 species
AUGAAAACAUCAUUUACGACACACCAGGGACAUUUCCAGUUUCGGGUCUUGCCAUACGGAGUAACAGGAGGCCAGCCGACAUUUCAGGGAGCGAUGAACAUUUUGAUGCAUCCACUUCUAAGGCAAGGGGUGCUCGUAUUCAUGGAUGAUAUCCUAGUGCAUACCAAAACCAUGUCUGAACAUUUGGUAUUGCUGAGACAAGUGCUCCAGUGCCUGCAAGAACACGACUUAAGAGUCAAGCUUUCCAAAUGCGCGUUUGCGCAACAAGAAAUCAGCUACUUAGGGCACAAGAUCAGUAAGGAUGGUGUGGCAACAUUGGAUGAGCACAUCAAGGCUGUUCAGACAUGGGAGAAACCAACCACAGUCAAGCAAUUGCGC